rnacentral:rRNA from 1 species
ACUCAAAUGAAUAGACGGGGACCCGCACAAGCAGCGGAGCAUGUUGCUUAAUUCGAUGCAACGCGAAGAACCUUACCUGGAUUGAACUACGCAGGAAAAGCUACAGAGAUGUAGUGUCCUUCGGGGCCUGCGAUAGGUGGUGCAUGGCUGUCGUCAGCUCGUGUCGUGAGAUGUUGGGUUAAGUCCCGCAACGAGCGCAACCCUUGUCCUAUGUUGCUAACACGUUAUGGUGAGGACUCAUAGGAGACCGCCGUGGUCAACACGGAGGAAGGUGGGGAUGAUGUCAAGUCAUCAUGCCCCUUACGUCCAGGGCUGCAAACAUGCUACAAUGGCUGGUACAAAGGGCUGCGAGACCGCGAGGUUUAGCGAAUCCCAAAAAGCCAGUCUCAGUUCGGAUUGGAGUCUGCAACUCGACUCCAUGAAGCUGGAGUUGCUAGUAAUCCCAGAUCAGCAUUGCUGGGGUGAAUACGUUCCCGGGUCUUGCACACACCGCCCGU